rnacentral:rRNA from 1 species
CUGGCGGCGUAGCCGUAAUACAGUGCAAGUCGAACGAGAGAGCUUGCUACUCUAGUGGCGAACGGGUGAGUAACACGUAGGUAACCUGCCUUACAGUUGGGAUACCCUGGCGAAAGCUAGGCUAAUACCGAAUAAUUGGAUUGGAGGCAUCUCCGAUCUCUAAAAGGGGCCUUUAAAGCCUCGCUGAAUGAUGGACCUGCGGCGCAUUAGCUAGUUGGUGAGAUAAUAGCCCACCAAGGCGAGGAUGCGUAGCCGACCUGAGAGGGUGAACGGCCACACUGGAACUGAGACACGGUCCAGACUCCUACGGGAGGCAGCAGUAGGGAGUUUUCGGCAAUGGGGGCAACCCUGACCGAGCAACGCCGCGUGAAUGAAUGAAAGUCUUCGGAUUGUAAAGUUCUGUUAUAAGGGAAAAAUGAUAGGGUGAGGAAAUGCUCUCUAUUUGAUGGUACCUUAUUAGAAAGCCACGGCUAACUACGUGCCAGCCGCCGC